rnacentral:rRNA from 1 species
GGAAUUGCUAGUAAUCGCGGAUCAGCAUGCCGCGGUGAAUACGUUCCCGGGCCUUGUACACACCGCCCGUCACACCAUGGGAGCCGGUAAUACCCGAAGUCAGUAGUCCAACCUCGUGAGGACGCUGCCGAAGGUAGGAUUGGCGACUGGGGUGAAGUCGUAACAAGGUAAC